GUCUACAGCCAUACCACCCUGAACGCGCCUGAUCUAGUCUGAUGUCGGAAGCUAAGCAGGGUCGGGCCUGGUUUGUACUUGGAUGGGAGACCGCUUGGGAACACCAGGUGCUGUAGGCU
ensembl:rRNA 5S_rRNA 5S ribosomal RNA